rnacentral:lncRNA from 1 species
CCACACUUGCAUCGGUCCCUGCGAUAAAACAACCCUAGGGCCCUCGGGGGGACAAAAAAUACGAAAAAACUGAAGCUUACCGGCGGCGGUGCUCUCGGGUGCAGCGGCUCUCCGGCGAUGUUCGUGUUUUGGUGAUUUGGCUCCGAUCAACCUUUAGAGAAAAGAAUGGUGAUCACGGUGAUAUAAAAAUUGUAUCAAACGGAGGCCGGGAAGGGCCUCAUCGGAGGCAAAAAUCGAGGAGAGGCGCGGCGGCGCCGCUGGGUUUCGGCCGUGUUUUCUAGCCGUUUGGCCGGGAUUUGAGCUCCGAUUUGGCCACAGGGGAACU